CCAUCAUUUAAAGAAAGCGUAAUAGCUCACUGGUCGAGUCGGCCUGCGCGGAAGAUGUAACGGGGCUAAACCAUGCACCGAAGCUGCGGCAGCGACGCUUAUGCGUUGUUGGGUAGGGGAGCGUUCUGUAAGCCUGCGAAGGUGUGCUGUGAGGCAUGCUGGAGGUAUCAGAAGUGCGAAUGCUGACAUAAGUAACGAUAAAGCGGGUGAAAAGCCCGCUCGCCGGAAGACCAAGGGUUCCUGUCCAACGUUAAUCGGGGCAGGGUGAGUCGACCCCUAAGGCGAGGCCGAAAGGCGUAGUCGAUGGGAAACAGGUUAAUAUUCCUGUACUUGGUGUUACUGCGAAGGGGGGACGGAGAAGGCUAUGUUGGCCGGGCGACGGUUGUCCCGGUUUAAGCGUGUAGGCUGGUUUUCCAGGCAAAUCCGGAAAAUCAAGGCUGAGGCGUGAUGACGAGGCACUACGGUGCUGAAGCAACAAAUGCCCUGCUUCCAGGAAAAGCCUCUAAGCAUCAGGUAACAUCAAAUCGUACCC
rnacentral:rRNA from 1 species